rnacentral:lncRNA from 1 species
AUAUCGGGGGUGCACUGGCACAGAGGAAAGGCCAUGUGAAGCAAGAAGGCAGCCAUCUGCAAGCCAAGGAGAGAAAUUUCAGAAGGAACCAACCCUACCGACAUCUUGAUCUUGGACUUUAAGCUGCCAGACCUUUUAUACAUUUUCUACAGAAAAUGCACCCCAUCAUUGCUUAUAGCCCACCCACGUGGACUGCUCAUUCUGUGAAUCAUGUUUUACAGAAAUUGCCUUGAUGUUAGGAAUUAAAAAAACAAAACAAAACAAAAAACAUGGAGCCGUAUUCUCCAGAAGCUUACAUCUGAUUUAACGAGACAGCAAUAGGAAGCCAAAGGGUCCCUGCAGAGGAGGGUUGCAGCACGAUAACUCUACAGCUGGACAGAGACAGAUUGCAGGGGAGCAAGAAUGAAUGGCAGGCCAGCUGCCAGAAGCUUCUCACUCCGUGGAGACCUUGGAGUCGAGGAUGAAAUGUCUUACAACUGUGGGGAGACCUUGGCUUUUCCAAAGCCUACCAGGGUCCAGGACUUGGAAGCUAAGGCCCAGAGAGGAGGAGAAACUUGAUCAAAGUCAAUCAGACAAUGCAGAAUCGAGAAAAGUACCUGGACCUCUAUGCCCAUGCUUCUAGCAGCCAGCCUCCUAAAAUACCUCUAGUUGAAGCCAAAGUUAGAAUCCUUCUACGAAACUACAGGAUUAAAAUGGAAUGGUUACAUGACCCAGGCUUGACCAAUCAGAUCAUCCAAACCCUUUGCCACAGUGAUUGGUCCAGGGAUACAUGCAUGAGCCAGCUCAGGCCUAAGCCACACUCAUCUUGUGGAUGACACUGGAGCUGUGACAGUCUGUUCUGUCCAGGCAGGGUGUCUUUUAUUUUUAUUGGAAAUAAGAUUAUCACAGAAUUGCUGGCUGUUGAUACUCUUUCUCAUCAACUCCCCAAAUGGAAAUGCUUUCAACCACUGCAGAAGUAAAAAAUUACCCAAAGGCUGUAUGAUGCAAACUCUUUCUUUGGCUUUAUCUUACUGAUAAGAAUAAAAAUAACACCUCACGUAUGUAU